rnacentral:tRNA from 1 species
GCGCCUGUAGCUCAAUUGGAUAGAGCAGCGGUCUUCUAAACCGCAGGCUGUGGGUUCGAGUCCCCCCAGGCGCG